rnacentral:rRNA from 1 species
GGACCCGCACAAGUAGUGGAGCAUGUGGUUUAAUUCGAAGAUACGCGCAGAACCUUACCAACACUUGACAUGUUCGUCGCGACUUUAAGAGAUUAAAGUUUUCGGUUCGGCCGGACGAAACACAGGUGCUGCAUGGCUGUCGUCAGCUCGUGUCGUGAGAUGUUGGGUUAAGUCCCGCAACGAGCGCAACCCUCACUUUUAGUUGCCAUCAUUAAGUUGGGCACUCUGAAAGAACUGCCAGUGAUAAGCUGGAGGAAGGUGGGGAUGACGUCAAGUCCUCAUGGCCCUUACGUGUUGGGCUACACACGUGCUACAAUGGUAUAUACAAUAGGAAGCAAGACGGCAACGUCAAGCAAAUCCUCAAAAGAUACCUCAGUUCGGAUUGCACUCUGCAACUCGAGUGCAUGAAGCUGGAAUUACUAGUAAUCG